UACGGAGGGUGCGAGCGUUAAUCGGCAUUACUGGGCGUAAAGCGCACGUCGGCGGUUCGGUAAGUCGGAUGUGCAAGCCCUGGGCUUAACCUGGGCACUGCAUUCGAUACUGCCAAGCUAGAGUAUGGGAGAGGGAAGCGGAAUUUCCGGUGUAGCGGUGAAAUGCGUAGAUAGCGGAAGGAACACCAAUGGCGAAGGCAGCUUCCUGGCCCAAUACUGACGCUGAGGUGCGAAAGCGUGGGGAGCAAACAGG
rnacentral:rRNA from 1 species